UGCUUUGGGUAGGAGGAGUGCCCCUUUCAGUCCUGUUCCGGGCGGGGAUCAGCUCCUGCCCUCUCAUUCCCUGCCUCUCCGGGAUGGGGUGUGGCCGGCACAUGGCCUCGUGGUCUUUCCUGUGCCUGCAGACCUGAAGGUCCCUCCUUGGACCGGGUUCCCCCAGGGCACAUCUCCCUCAUGUCACAGCCUGCUCAGGGGCCGCUGCUGAGGGCUGUCUCCCGGGUCUUCCCCAGCUGGUGACAAGAGAGGGGACCCCUAGGACAGCAGCCUGAGGCCCCGAUCUCGGUUGCUACUCAAGCUCCAGGAUCUGAGGUGGCUGCAUCCCAACAGCCUGAGGGGGAAGUGGAUGGACCAGCAUCGGUCCCAGCCUCGGGGACUCUCUGUAACGCGCGAACUCAGGCAGUCCAGGACGAGCCCCCUGUGUGUCCCGGGCAGAGGACUUAUGGGACUGAUCCGUCUUGAAAGCCCUUUUCUUCCCUGCCUCUGUCUCCAAAACAACUCUGGCUGGAACCUGGGGACCUUGUGCCCUCUGACGUGUGACAGUCACCCCGUGGAAAUCCCCAGAAUCCCGGCCUUCCCCUUUGCGUCCCCAUGUGGCAUUGUGAAGAGUGGGAAACAGGAGGACAGGGCCUCCCCAGGGGCGGGAUGGUGGCAGGGCUGGGCUGAGAGGAAGUCACCACCAGCCGGGUGUCGUGGUCACAGACGGGCUCGACCGACGAGUGGCCAGGCACUUGUCACUCACCAUGUGCAGGACCAGGGAGACAAACCAUGCUGUCAUCUGCGUGGGGCACAUGGGCAACUCACCCGAUUUGGGACAAUUUGACUGUUGUCAAGAAUGAUGACUGGCAGAGCACACCGAGGACGCAAAAUUCACGACCUCCAUGCUCACAGUAGCCAAGAAGUGGUGGCCACACGAGUGUCCACCUGGGAUGAUGCACAAGCAAGUGGUCCCCCCGCACAGUGGAACACCGUGUAGCCCCCAAAAGGAGGAAAUCCUGCUGCCUGCUGCAGUGUAGUCAGAUCAGAGGCCACUAUGCUCAGUGAAACGAGCGGACAGAAGGACAAAUAGCGUGUGAUGCUCUGGUAACAAAGUCUAGAACAGCCCGAUCUGUAGAACCAGAGAGCAGGCUGGUGUGGCUACGUGGAGGCGGGGCUAGUGGGUGAGGAGCUCCCGUUUCAAGUGGGGACAAGGUCCUGAAGAUGGUGGCACGAUGGCCACACAGCCAGUGACAGUGUUAAAUCCAUGACCUGCUCCCUUAGAAAUGGAGAUCUUUGUGAUGGUCAAUUUGGACACAAUGAAAUAAAAGUCUUCGAGUCCUUAGAGAGAAGAGACGAAUCGGCGUGGCUCAGAGGAAGAGGGACCUGCCCAGCUGCAGGGGAACCCCU
rnacentral:lncRNA from 1 species